rnacentral:rRNA from 1 species
UAAAACCUUCAACAACGGAUCUCUUGGUUCUGGCAUCGAUGAAGAACGCAGCGAAAUGCGAUAAGUAAUGUGAAUUGCAGAAUUCAGUGAAUCAUCGAAUCUUUGAACGCACAUUGCGCCCUCUGGUAUUCCAGAGGGCAUGCCUGUUCGAGCGUCAUU